CUCCCUCGGUGCUGUCGGAGUGAGUGCAGGCACGAGAGCGCGACCCUUCCAUGGAGCUGGCGCUUGUCAGGGAAGCGGUCCGGGAGCGAGCGAGGCGAGUCAUACUGGCGGAAGGCACUAAAAGGACAAGCAGAUGAGCUCAAGUUUUUUUCUCCAGUUUACCCUCCAAAUAAGCAAAGUUUCACUUCCCAGCUGAGUACGAUUGGACUCAUCUAUGGCGACAUCGCAACUGGUUUCUUCAGUCAGAACUGAGACUGCAUUGAAAGAAAUCCAAGGUUACUCCCGUGUGCCUGUCCAACUAUCCACUCGUGCCUUUCACCAGACAAUGAGAAUGGACCUUUCCGACUGGCGAUCUUUAGCUCCGCCCCCCUUAGCUACAGUUGCCAUGCCCCACACGCUUCCAAAAUGGCGACUGAACAUAAAAGGUUUGAACUGGGUCCUCUGUCGUAUAGUCCAGAUAAUAUUGGGAUAUGUUUUUUGCCAAAUGCGUCAGACUUGUCCAAGAGAGUUCGAUAGAGAGGGCUCAACUAUUUCAUGCAAGGAUAAGUACACGGAAUUGAGAUUUUGGACGGAGCAGGACGCAAUGUCAGUGUUACAGAGAAACGUAACUGAUCGAUGCAAAAAAGUUUGACGCCUCACAAACUUCAUAUUAAAAUUCAACAGGAUAAAAUUGUGGAAUCGUACUGCGCAUGUAAAGCAGGGGUCAAGUGAGUACGAAGAGCUGGCAGACAUCAUUGAAAGUGCCUAUUUGAGUAAAGAUGUGAUGAAGCCUUCUCCACUGGGACAGACCUCUGGUAUCGAGGGAAAUCACAGUGUUGUGAACCACUUUGCUCCUAAGAUGUAUCACAAUGGAUAUGAUGGGAUGAAAAACCGAUUACGCUGAGCAACACUUCAUUUCAUCGAGAAUGCUCAACGGGCUCAAGCAAAAGACAAAUCUGGCAGGUUGAUGUUCAACAUAACCUUUCCAAAGGCAAAACAAGGGCAUCACAUGGUGAAGAAGCUAAUGUAGGAUUGUAAAUUUGGUGAGGCCUUCCCCCCCGCCCUACAAACAAAAAACAAAAAAAAGCAGAACGACACAAAGAAAAACCCUAUCAAGGUAUAAUAUUGUAAGUAUAAUUAUUCUGCAAUAAUAUUAAACCUGUUAAAUCAGAAAACUCAGUUGUUGACAUCACAAAAGAAGACAGUCAAAACGUAAAAUAAAAGCAUUUAUGACGUAAAGUUUGUGUCAGGGCCACUCGGACAGCUUGACGAAAAUUUGACGUCGUCAAAUGAUUCAUCCACGGAAGUAGAUUAACUUUGAACACCAACAAGGGAAGUAACCUAGUUUUCAUAAAGACUUUCACUAUGAGGCUUGCUACUUGCACAUUUAACCUAUAGGAUGACGGAGUAAACCAGGACAGCAGUAUCUGAAUAUUUAGGAAAUGAUGUAAUUUCCAUGUUUCAGUGUAUGUGGAACGCCUGUUAGAAGAGCUCCGGACACUCUAUGUGGAUGUGGACCUAACGACGUCCUCUGCUGACCCCCAAGCACCACCACCUCUCAGCAGCCAGUACACAAAAACAAGCAAAGACUUGGCUAUUCAGGAUCAUUUUUCAAGAUUUUCAAAUCAAAGCAAAGUAAUGCAUUAGUCUGGUCUGUUCAAUAGUCAGUUUCUCAAUUUGUGUGAACUUCUGUAAAUAUGACCUCCAUGGUGAAAGCAAGGUGAGGUGGCGUACUGUGGAUUUGAACUCUCCAGCUCCUAAUGACAUUUUAUGGAAUGAAACAAUAUCAUACAAAACAUGUGCAUAUACAAAUGUUUAUUGUUUAACACGUUGCUGUAUUAAGUCAGUCUUGAUAAAACUGCCCUGACCAAAUUAUAGUUUCACCUUCAGUGGUUUGUAAAAAAAUAACCUUUUCAGUGCUGUGAUACUUACAGAUGAUAUCACAAAUAUUUCAACCAUUUUCCGUACUCUAAUUAGAGUCAACUUGAAGGGCAUAUUUUGCAGCAGAACAACAAAAGAUAUUUUAGAGUAGAAACUGUCACAUAAUGCCAGCAAUGUCCAUCAAUUAUUAGUUCAGGAUCAACACCCACGCUUUACUUUCAUGCAAAGAAAAGGGUAAUAUUCAUCAGAUGGGCAUAAAUCCUGAGAACACGGCAUCAUCUUCAAGUCCUGGGGGUGGAAAUUCUGCUUGGAUUCUCUGCACAGCACAUGAUGGUAUAACAACCCUGUAGUUCUUGCCGAGAGGCCCCCAACACCGUUCCCAGGCUGUCUCCAAUACAAAUGGGUUUAGGCAGACUGGGUGAAAGCCUUUGUGGUUAACAAUGCAAGCCAAGGCGGUUUCAUCCAACUUCUGGACAGUUUCUGUAAUUUCCUUACAGCAGCGGCAUUCUCUCUGGGAAGGCAUUGGCUGGCAAUUUCCACAUUGUCAGCUGGUUGAAAAAUAUAAUCAGUUAAAAUAAUGUUAUUUGGUUUGUUUUAAGCACAAAGUUGAAUUUCAUUACUAUCUUUUGCUUGCCAAAAUAAGGUUGAAAUAAUGAUGCUGUGGCGUAAAGCCCCAUCAUUUAUUCAUUCAUUAUCUUCGGACUAAAAAGUGAAAACAUGACAUACUUGAAUGUAUGCAAAGCUAUUUUGACAACAAUUAAUUGACAAUAUUAUAAAUGUGCUCUUUAAACGCAGAAUGAUACCGAAGGUUUGGAUUUUUGUUUUAUGCCGACUCAGUCACUAGUACAACAACAAACAACUCACUGUUGUGUGCAAGCAGCAUCAGACGUUUAAACGUGUUUGAAUUAGAUUAUUUUGUCAACAACGGGUA